rnacentral:rRNA from 1 species
UACAGAGGUCUCAAGCGUUGUUCGGAUUCAUUGGGCGUAAAGGGUGCGUAGGUGGCGCGGUAAGUCGGGGUGUGAAAUCUCGGAGCUUAACUCCGAAAAUUGCAUUCGAUACUGCCGUGCUCGAGGACUGGAGAGGAGACUGGAAUUCAUGGUGUAGCAGUGAAAUGCGUAGAGAUCAUGAGGAAGACCAGUGGCGAAGGCGGGGUCUCUGGACAGUUCCUGACACUGAGGCACGAAGGCCGGGGGAGCAAAACGGGAUUAGAAAACCCCCGGUAGU